rnacentral:lncRNA from 1 species
UCCUCAAUUACCUGACUUCCCACCAUUUCCACCAAAAGUUUUCCACAAACAUCCUCUUUUCCCUCAUAUUCCUAUCUACAAGAAACCUCUCCCUCCUCCUGUGCCUGUCUAUGUAAAACCUCUUCCCCCUCCUGUGCCUAUCUAUAAGCCUCCUGUAUAUGUAAAACCUCUCCCUCCUCCAGUGCCUAUCUAUAAGCCACCUGUUUACGUGAAACCUCACCCUCCUCUUGUGCCUGUUUAUAAACCACCUGUAUACGUGAAACCUCACCCUCCUCCUGUGCCUGUCUAUAAACCACCUGUAUAUGUGAAACCUCACCCUCCUCCUGUGCCUGUCUAUAAGCCUCCUAUUAUUCCAGUUACUAAACCGCUUCCACCACCGGUUCCGUUCAAGAAACCAUGUCCACCAAAGAUUGAGCAUCCAAUUCUACCACCUGUUCCAAUAUAUAAACCUCCAAUAGUUCCAAAGCCACCGGUGGUUCCGAUCGUCAAGCCACUUCCUCCUCCAGUUCCAAUUUACAAACCACCAGUUGUCACUAAACCUUUUCCUCCAUUCAAGAAACCACCAUGUCCACCAAAGAUUGAGCAUCCAAUUCUACCACCUGUUCCAAUAUAUAAACCUCCAGUAGUUCCAAAACCACCGGUGGUUCCGAUCGUCAAGCCACUUCCUCCUCCAGUUCCAAUUUACAAACCACCAGUUGUCACUAAACCCUUUCCUCCAUUCAAGAAACCACCAUGUCCACCUCUUCCCAAGCUCCCUCCAAAGCCAUUUUUCCAUCACCCCAAGUUUGGAAAAUGGCCUCCAAAGCCUUUUUUCCAUCACCCCAAGUUUGGAAAAUGGC